UGUUCUUCACUCUUCAUUCCCUGUAUUGAUGAGAAACAAAGAAGAAAUCUUCAUUCCCUGUAUUGAUGAGAAACAAAGAAGAAAUCGCUGUUCUUUCCCCAAAUUUGAAAUACUAACUUAAUGGAUUGUUGUUUCUAUUGAAUCUCGUUCGAGAAACCUUCAUUUAGCUAUCCAAAACGUGGUUCUUGGAUUCUCUCUGGUUUAAUUGCGUCAAGAGUUUGGAGCUAGCUCGAUGUGAUAGGCUGAGAAAAGCUUACGGCGUGGAGCUAUGGACACAAUGUGUGAACUAUUACGCGUAGUUAACGUCUGCUACACUGAUUUCCCAACAUUUUUAUGGUAUUUGAGACUUCUUUUCACUGGUGAUGGGGCAGGUUUCGGUCCUUUGCAACAGCGAAUCGCUACGUUUCCCAUCAAAGAUGGUGACCUUGGCAUUUAUACCAUUACCGACGCCUGUAGCUAUUGUUAUCUCGCAUCUCAGAGCCAGACGGUUUCGGUACAAAAGGUGAUUCCUGCAGAGCUUAAGACCAGGGCUAACACAACAAGUCAUGUUAUUUCUUUUUUCCAAAUGUAUAAUCUAGGUAGUGGACUCGAGGGGUUCUUCCGAACUUAAGUCCAUAUUAGCCCUCUCAUGGGUCCAUCAGUAGCUUCUGACUUUGAGGAGGGGUUUAAGAGUACAAUGAUCAGAGAAAGGAGAUAAAAUCCAAAAUUCUAUAAGUUUUUUUACUUCUUUUUAUUUUAUAUUAUUGUGUGAACCCCAUUAGCAUCAGUAGCUAAAUUUAUUUUUGAUUGAGGAUGAAUUCCUAGUUCUUGACAUGAUUUAAGUUCAAUUAUACCUUGAACUU